rnacentral:rRNA from 1 species
UACGUAGGGUGCGAGCGUUAAUCGGAAUUACUGGGCGUAAAGCGUGCGCAGGCGGCUUUGCAAGACAGAUGUGAAAUCCCCGGGCUCAACCUGGGAACUGCAUUUGUGACUGCAAGGCUAGAGUACGGCAGAGGGUGAUGGAAUUCCGCGUGUAGCAGUGAAAUGCGUAGAUAUGCGGAGGAACACCAAUGGCGAAGGCAAUCCCCUGGGCCUGUACUGACGCUCAUGCACGAAAGCGUGGGGAGCAAACAGG